rnacentral:lncRNA from 1 species
GCCUGUCCAGGGGCACAAGGGUUCACUGAAGACUCAGGAGAGGGGUUUAGAGCACAGCCUCCCUCUCCAGGGUCAGGUUCACGGGAGCUGUUGGGGGCUCCUUCCCUCGCAGCAGUGACCACUCCAAGGACCACGGCCUGGACAUGAGCGGCAGCGGUGAGCUGGGAGCUGCUGGCCUGGAGUCUAGAUGAAUAUAGGCAGCAGCCAAAGGCCACAGUCACGACAAACCUACACACUCUCACCACUGUCAUCUCAUAUUGUCCUAAAAUUUCCAGCCAGUGCAAAAAAACAUGAAAAAGAAAAAAUACAGCCAUUGGAAAAGAGGAAAAGUAAUUGUUAUUAGCUGAUGAUGUGAAUGUCUUCCUGAAAACCUUAAGAGAACCAACUGGAAAACAACCAGAAAUGAGAGCAUGGAGUUAGGCAACCGCCGAUCUGCUUUCUGUCACUUGGGCGAGUUUUUCCCGUCCUGGGAUUUCAUAUCUCUGGAAUCCUGCAGUACGUAGCCCUCUGUCUGGCUUCCUCGCUCCGUGUAAUGUUCUUGAGAUUCAUCCAUGCAGCUGUGUAUACCUGCAGUGAUUGUUUCUCUUGUUGAAUUGCUGAGAAGGGUUCCAUCGUAUGCCUUUUCCAGUUUAUUUGUUCAUCUGUUGUUAGACAUUUGAGUUAUUUCCAGCUUGGGACUCUUAUGAACAAAACUGCUAUAAACAUGCAUAUUCAAGUCUUUGUGGAUAUGUGCUUUCUUUUGUCCUGGAUAAAUGUCUCCACGUGGGCUUCCUGGGUCUCACGGACCUCACCAGCUGACGUGGCCGGCCCUGGACUUGCCAUGGAGAAGGCAGAGCCUGCCUCCCAGUGGGUCCCUGUGAGGAACAGCAGUACCGGCUUGUCGUCUUUCUGGGAAAUGCAUUUCGCCUCCUCUAGGAACCUCCCGGAUGACCCAGAGUGUUCUCCACCCACUUUUCCUGCCCUGUGCGGUCACCUCAUUUCUAC